GGAUUAUGGCUCAGUGAUAGAGCAUUCGCCUAACGCAUGUGGGACCUGGGUUCGAUUCUCAGCACCA
rnacentral:tRNA from 1 species